GCCGCGGUAGCUCAGCCUGGGAGAGCGUCCGGCUGAAGACCGGAAUGUCCCCGGUUCAAAUCCGGGCCGCGGCA
rnacentral:tRNA from 1 species